rnacentral:rRNA from 1 species
AGUGAACGCUGGCGGUAGGCCUAACACAUGCAAGUCGAACGGCAGCACAGUAAGAGCUUGCUCUUACGGGUGGCGAGUGGCGGACGGGUGAGGAAUACAUCGGAAUCUACUUUUUCGUGGGGGAUAACGUAGGGAAACUUACGCUAAUACCGCAUACGACCUACGGGUGAAAGCAGGGGAUCUUCGGACCUUGCGCGAUUGAAUGAGCCGAUGUCGGAUUAGCUAGUCGGCGGGGUAAAGGCCCACCAAGGCGACGAUCCGUAGCUGGUCUGAGAGGAUGAUCAGCCACACUGGAACUGGGACACGGUCCAGACUCCUACGGGAGGCAGCAGUGGGGAAUAUUGGACAAUGGGCGCAAGCCUGAUCCAGCCAUACCGCGUGGGUGAAGAAGGCCUUCGGGUUGUAAAGCCCUUUUGUUGGGAAAGAAAAGCAGCAGGUUAAUACCCCGCUGUUCUGACGGUACCCAAAGAAUAAGCACCGGCUAACUUCGUG